AUGGCCAGAUUCUGGUGGAGUAGUUCGCUUGAUAAGCGUUCUUUACAUUGGAUUUCUUGGAAGAAAUUGGCGACGCCGAAAUGUAAAGGUGGAAUGGGCUUCCGUGACCUCCACCUGUUUAAUUUGGCACUACUGGGAAAGCAUGGCUGGCGAUUCAUGUGCAAUCCGGAAUCCCUAUGUGCUAGAGUGUUGAGGGAGUAUUUCCCUGAUACAGAUUUUAUGCAUGCAACGGUACGAAACACGACUUCAGCUACUUGGCGUGCCAUUAUAGCUGGACGAGAGGCUUUGCAAGUAGGACUUAUAUCUCGUAUAGGUGAUGGAAGUUCAAUCUCCGUAUGGACAGAUAAAUGGAUACCAUCUUCUGCUACGAUGACUCCACUGUUUAAACCGCUAGGUACAACAAUUGUCACUGUUAAUGACUUAAUUGAUACCGACAACUGGACUCGGCGAGUGCAGCUAGUCAGAGACACCUUCAUACCUCCAGAUGCGGAAGCGAUUUUAAACAUACCUUUGCGGGAUGGAGGAGGAGAUGAUUUUCUUGCAUGGGCACAUGAAAGCUCGGUGUCGGUGUCAAAACCGGCGGAUCUCGGGUAG
rnacentral:rRNA from 1 species